rnacentral:lncRNA from 1 species
GCUGGGGGUGCCUGCUAAGUGUUAAAUGGGAAGGGGGUGGGGGGUUGCUGGCCCCUUGUCCUGGUGGCACAGGGAGGGGCAUAGAAUUGCUUUCUCUCUCCCAGCUCCUGGACCGCUGGCUUUAGCUCUGAUGAAAAAGAGCCCUCAGAAAGGAUGAGCAUGGCCGGAUAACCCCUGACUGAAGGAACUGGCAGGGCUAAUGACUCCAGAAGUGCCAUGGGAUUUUAUACAGCCUGAGGAAGUGGCUCAGAGGCAACUUGGAGAGUUGGACUUGGUUCCUGGCCUCGCAGAAUAAAAAUCCUCAAACCGUGCUCACAGUUCCAUGGCUGGGGGUGAUCUCCAUUCUGUGUCAGGAGCCUGGAGCCCAGCCCUGGCUGACCCCAGACCCUGAGAUGGCAGUGCUGUGGUGUGCAGCAUCCUCUCCUGGUCCUCUUUCAUCCCUGUCUCUCAGGAGCAUCCUGCUCAGGCUGGACAUGCAGGGCGAGUUUGCAAAU